AAUUUAUGUAAGUUUUAAUAGUGAGCUUUUGGACAAAACGGCGAAAGAUAAUAGCUGAUGUUGAAUAUUGCCUAAAAGAUCUAACCAUUAAAUCAAGCAAUAUUUCACAUUCACCAGAAGAACUACAAUCAUUGUAUUUAAAAAGUAUAUCAGAUCAAAAACUUUCAACUGAGAGUGUUAUUCCCUCAGGUGCAAAUAAUAUUGAUUGUGAAGUGAACUCUGACAGUAAUCAAUUCAUAUUAAAUAUUGGCAUUAGACAAGAUAAUAGCUGUGGCAAGUAAAGGAGGCCAGACUUUAAAGGAGGCUGUCCAGAGAAUGUCUUUUGCGUUAUUCACUAAUAACCUCUGCUGUAAACUUAACUGGUCUGGUAUUACUAUAAAUGACAAUGAAAGUAACUUUGUAAAACAAAGACUUACACUUGCUUAAAAGAGCUGUAAAAAGAAAUCCUGCAACAACUUCAGCAACUGAAUCAGAUUUUCAAUAUGAGGUUGUGCGUUUAUUGCGUGGUGCAUCAGACCGCAAUGGUGGAAAAAAAGUUAGACAAGACCAAAAAAACAAACAAGCCAAGAAAAAAGUGAUGCCUACAUCAAGUUUUCCAAUGCCAUUAAAUAAAGAGGGAUUUUUUAGUUCAGAUGAAUAAUAUUGUUAAAUAAAAUAAGCAUCUUUAUUUACAAAUUUGUUAUCUUUAUUUUAUUGAAAACUAUUUUAUAUAUUUUUAAAUAUUUUAAUUUUUAAACUCUAUAGAGUAAAGUUUUUGUGCAAUGAGUAUUACUGUUUCUGUGUUUUUCAUAUUCAUUCCCUUUUACAGUAACCUUUUGUAUAUGAGAUUGUAGAUGAAAAUUUAAAUCGUGAUAUUGAAUCUUACCAGAGAAUAAAGAAACCGUUUACCUCAACCAGAGUUAUAUUUCAUAGAAUUAUGUUGACCAUGAUCCAAAUAUUGCCAUGGGUAUAAGAUAGAUGUUUGAUUUGCAAACUGGAUUUAAAUAAUAUUUUGUUUAAACAUAUUUAUUUGCUCUUUAUAUGCUUACAAAUAAUUUAUUAGAAAAAAUUACAUACUUAUUUACUAAACCGUUUUAUUUCAAUCAAUUAUUUGAUUUUUUAUAUUUUUCAAGGAGUUUUUAUAGUAUAUUAUAUUGGGCUGUGUUUUUUUUUUUGUAUGGUGAAGACUAUGAUUAAUUUACAAACUAUAUUUUAGUUUAUCAAAAUAUAUUUUUAUUGAUGUGUUUUGCCUCUGAUUCUUUCUUUUUCAGAUGUGUACUUGUGUCUUAGGCUUAUGCUUUGCAAAAGGUUCACAAUCGCCCUUAAGUUGCUGUGGGUUUUACGGUUUUACUUCCAACCUGACAUAUAAGCAUAUUUAAAGGAUUAGGUAUAAUAAGGUAGGUUACUGUAUAUGAAAUUUUAUUUUUUUAAAAAGGCACGCAAUAUGACUUUAUUUUUAUAUAGCUUUUUUUUAAAGUUAUUUCCAUAGCUUUUCAAUUUAAACAAUGUUUUUGUUGUUUUUCAUGUUUUAAAUUAUGCUUAAAAAAUAAAAUUAAAUUUAUAUUUAUUCAAUGUAGAUGCACUUAGUAUCUGAAGUUAUUUGUCAAUAACUGGUGAUCAGACUAUUUCAAACGAAUACGUUUUUAAGGGCUGAGAAGGCGAAAGAUAGAAGUCUGCAGACUGCAACGUAAAUCAAUUUUCAACACAUGGUUUCCUAAAUAUAUUUAGUUUUCGAUUGAAAUGAGAAUAAAUUGAACUUAUAGAUAUGUUGAAAAAUAACUAUUUUAUAUUUUAAACAUUCGCUAAACGCAAGUGAAGCAAUAAUCUAAAUAUGCAAUUAUACUUUA